UACGUAGGGUGCAAGCGUUGUCCGGAAUUAUUGGGCGUAAAGAGCUCGUAGGCGGUCUGUCGCGUCUGCUGUGAAAACUCAGGGCUUAACCCUGAGCUUGCAGUGGGUACGGGCAGACUAGAGUGCGGUAGGGGAGACUGGAAUUCCUGGUGUAGCGGUGAAAUGCGCAGAUAUCAGGAGGAACACCGGUGGCGAAGGCGGGUCUCUGGGCCGUAACUGACGCUGGAGGAGCGGAAAAGCAUGGGGAGCGAAACAGG
rnacentral:rRNA from 1 species